rnacentral:rRNA from 1 species
AGAGUGAACGCUGGCGGCAGGCCUAACACAUGCAAGUCGAGCGGCAGCACAGUCGUAGCAAUACGAUGGGUGGCGAGCGGCGGACGGGUGAGGAAUGCAUCGGAAUCUACCUUGUUGUGGGGGAUAACGUAGGGAAACUUACGCUAAUACCGCAUAAGACCGAGAGGUGAAAGCGGGGGACCUGCAAGGGCCUCGCGCGACAAGAUGAGCCGAUGCCGGAUUAGCUAGUGUGGGUAAAGGCCCACCAAGGCGACGAUCCGUAGCUGGUCUGAGAGGAUGAUCAGCCACACUGGAACUGAGACACGGUCCAGACUCCUACGGGAGGCAGCAGUGGGGAAUAUGGACAAUGGGCGCAAGCCUGAUCCAGCCAUGCCGCGUGUGUGAAGAGGCCUUGGUUGUAAAGCUACUUUGUGGAAGAAGUCCCGGGAUUAACUACGUUCCGUGGAGUCUGACGGUAACCAAAG